GGGCCGGGCCCGCGCGUGGCUCCGCUGGGCUCCGCUGGGCUCCGCCGGCCCCGGCGCGGCAGGGCGGGAUGGCGGUCGGGCUGGGGCCGUGGCUGCUGGCCUUGGCCUGGGCCGCGGGGCCGGCAGGACUCUGCCCGCUACUUCUGCUCAGUCGACACGGUGGCAGGAAAUCCAGCAGAGCUCUAACAGAAACCUGCUGGAGUCUGGCCCAGACGGUGGGACUGUUGGGGAGUGGAGUGCUAGGGCAGCUCUGGAGUGUUCCCAGGGAGGGAGAGAGCAUCGCUGUGCAUGGUGGGUGGUCCAGCUUUUCAGCAAGAGCUGCUUUCCCUGCACUGUCCCUUUCCUUCUGCUGAGUCCCAAAAGCAGUGCUUUAUUUUGCAGAGAACACCCAGUAUAUUCCUUGUCACUUGCCAACAUAAAUAAUUUUAUGCUUUCUUGGGACACCCAAAGCACUUGGGCUUUGGCAGCAUCAUUCCCUGCUUUCUUCAAUCUCCAUGGGCAUUAAUGUGUGCCAGUGAGAGCAAAGCAGUAGUUCACUCCUGUAUCAUAUGUGUUUCAGUGUGAUCUAAGUGACAAGGUUUUCAGCAUGGUGGCGAGCUGAGAUACUUGGGGACCUUGCAAGGCACUUGCAGAUCCAAUGCCUCCUGUAUUUAUGUGGCCUGGUAUCGGCAGCGUCCUGGUGGACCCCUGCAGUACUUGCUGCAGAGCAAGGGCCGCGGAGGCUCCUACAGCCACACAGCCCCUUUUGCCCGCAAGAGGUUUUCCUGCCAGGCUGACAAGAACUCCGGCACCCUGGUCAUCACCGAGCUGGAGGUGGGGGACAGCGCGCUCUAUUACUGCACCCUUCAGGAACCACAGUGAGGGACGCUUGGGGCAUGCCUGAACAACAAUGCUUCCUCCCCCUCCUGCUCUCUCUUCCUGCAUGUUCAUGGGGGUCACAGCCCACCUCAGGGGGUGGGAACCCUGAUGUGGGAAACGUGAGCAGAGCAGACAUGUGGUUCACCAUUGUCUUCUCCAUAGGCUGCAAAAGAAUCUCUGCUCUGGCCCCGGGACCACCUCCUCCCCCUCCUUGUUCACUGACCUUGGUGUCUGCAGGGGGGUUUAUCUCACAGUUUUUGUUUCUUUUUUUACCUUGUUGUAAAUAUGUUACCACAGAGGCACCAGCAGCUUAGCGGGUUGGCUUUGUCUUGGCCACCAGUGGGUCAUUUUGGAGCUGGCUGGAAUCAGCCAUGUCUGACAUGGGGGCAGCCCUGGUCUCCUAGCACAGAGGCUGCCCAUGCAGCCCGCCCUGCUUCCAAAAUAUUGCUGCAUAAACCCUGUAGCGCCACAAGGUCACGCUGCUGGACACGUUCAACUCGGUGUCCUGAAGGAGCCUGACGGCUUUUGGGCCUUUCCAGUUGGACAACCCCCAGCACACACUGGUAUAUGGGUUUGUUCUUCCCCGGGUGCAGGACUUUGCGCUUUCCCUUGUGUUGUGGUUUAACCCCCAUAGGUAACUAAGUAUCACACAGCCGCUCACUCUCUGCCUCCUCAGCAGGAGGGGGGACAGAAUUGGAAGUAUAAAAGAGAGCAAACUCGUAGGUUAAGAUCAAGGCAGUUCAGCAGGUGGAAAAAAAAAGCUGGGUGCACAAGCCAAGCCAAGUGAAGAAUGAAUUCCCUACUUGCAUUGGCAGGCAGGUGUUUAGCCGUUUCCAGGAAAGCAGGCCUCCCUCACGCACAGGGAUUGCUUGGGAAGGGAAAUGCCAUGACUCCAGAUGUCCCAAUUUCUCUCCUUCUUUCCUGGAGUUUUAUUGCUGAGCCCGAUGUCAUAUGGUAUUGAAUAGUCCUUUGUCAGUUGGCGUGAGCGUUCCUGGCUGUGUCCCAUCCCAGCUUAUCGCCCACCAUUAGCUUGCUCGCUUGGGGCAGCAAGCAAAUCAGAAAAGGCCUUGAUGCUGUGUGAGCACUGGCCAGCAAGAGGUUAACCACCCCUGUGUCAUCAAUACUGUUUUGUUCAUAAAUACGAUACAUAGGACCGUAUGAGCUCAUUUGAAGAAAACUAACUGUAUCCGAGCCAGAGCGAGCACACCUUGUUGGACUGCCUGAGGUUCCUCUCAGCCCGUUCCUCUCAGCCUGUCAAGGUCCCUCCGCAUGGCAGCACAAGCCUGUGGAGUAGCAGCCCCUCCUCCCAGUUUUGUUUCACCAAGUCGUGUGUUGGGGGUGCUCUUUAUUCCAUCCUCCAGACCACGGCUGAAGAUGAAGUGGGUCUGGGCGACCCCCGGUAUCAAUACAGACUGGGCAGAAAAUGGAUUGAGAGCAGCCCAGAGGAGAAGGACUUGGAGGUGCCGGUGGACGGAAAGCUCAGCAUGCCCCGCCAGUGUGCACUUGCAGCCCAGAAAGCCAGCUGAAUCUGGGGCUGCAUUAAAAGAAGCGUGUCCACCAAGUCGAGGGAGGUGAUUCUCCCCCAUCUGCCCUCGUGAGAUGCCCCGUGGAGUACUGUACUCAGGUCUGGAGCCCCCAACAUAAAAAGGACAUGGACCCGUUGGAGUGGGUCCAGAGGAGGGCCACAAAGAUGAUCAGAGGGCUGGAGCGCCUCUCCUAUGAGGAAAGGUUGUGUUGGCGUUGUUUAGCCUGGAGAAGAGAACGCACUGGGGAGACUUGAGUAUGAAGGCACAGACUCUGGUUGUGGUGCAACCAGAGACACUGUAUUGUGCAGAGAAGCUCGUAUUUACAUCUCUGAGCCUGGAUACAAAUUCCAGCUGUAUGUACCACCAGGCUCAGGACAGCAACCAUUCCUGCAGUUACAUAGCUAUAUAUCACUAACAAGCAUGGAGACACCUUUUUGCUACUAGAUAACCGUGUUUAUCUUUCUUACUUCACAAUACCCAGCUGUUCUCUCAUCUCCUGCCAGGUCACACAUUCUUCAUCCCCCUCUCAUAUAUCUCUCUUCAGACAUUCUCUAUCCUCCGCUCUCACAUCUCCCCCUUUUUCGCUUGUUAAUUGUGACAAGACAAGGGUUGUGUGUAGCUGGGCGAACAUGACCUGAUGUAUGUUAUGGUUAACUAAAGCUGAAUACAGGAAGAGGCAUGGGAG